UUGAUCCUGGCUCAGAAUCAACGCUGGCGGCGUGCCUCAGACAUGCAAGUCGAACGAGAAGCCCCCUUCGGGGGGUGGAGAGUGGCGCACGGGUGAGUAUCACGUGGGUAAUUUACCUUUGGGUGGGGAACAACAGCCGGAAACGGCUGUUAAUACCGCAUAAUGCAGCGGCUCGACAUCGAGACAGUUGUUAAAGCGGUGGAUCGCAAGACCUCGCGCCUAAAGAGAAGCCCGCGGCAGAUUAGCUAGUUGGUAGGGUAAUGGCCUACCAAGGCAACGAUCUGUAACCGGCCUGAGAGUGCGGUCGGUCACACUGACACUGACAUACGGGUCAGACUCCUACGGGAGGUAGUAGUCGGGAAUUUUGGGCAAUGGGCGAAAGCCUGACCCAGCAACGCCUCGUGAAGGAUGAAGCUUUUCGGAGUGUAAACUUCACAAGAAUGGGAAGAUUAAGUGUGGGAUAAUACCCCGCACGAUGACGGUACCAUUUGUAAGCUCCUGCUAACUCCGUGCCAGUU
rnacentral:rRNA from 1 species